UCUAGGAUGAAUGACAAGCACCUGGCUGCAGCUAGCAGCCAAGCUCAGCAAUCACCAGCAACACAUUCUGUCCACAGAUAGCAGCCAGCUGCUCUCAUGAGCCCCAGGUUAUAAAUCUGUGCACAUUUGACGCCAGUGGAAAAUCUGCAUCGUGACUCCCUGGAGUGACCCAAGGAUGUGCCAGUAAGAAGACAGAGCUUUGCUGUGCUGCCUGGAGAGGAAGAGCCUCCAAGAGGUGUAAAAUGAUCUCAAUAACAUCCUUUAGUAGGACCCUCAUCUUCUGCUAUACAUUUUGCUAUACAUAUCUGAACACCUCUCAAGAUACUACAAGCAAAUUUGACAUGAUGGUUCCUGGCAUCAAGGAGCAGGUUUUUGUCUAUGUUGGGAUACAAUCGGACACCAUUUUGAAUCAAGAUGGUAGACUGAACCUUUUGAAACGGCACUAAUGUUACCCACUGAUUUCAAAACUGUCCUGAUUUUUUUGUUUUUGUUUCUUAGCGCAACAUCAGAUACUUGGUGUAAUCAUCUGGUUCAGGCGAAAUUCCAGCAUACCUCAGUGACUAGUGUCCCCUCUUGUUUCCCCCAGUCUUUUAUAUAGCUUAUCCUUUUGGGAUUCUUUCAACUCAUUGUUUCAUAAUUAUAUUUAUACAUGUACAAGCUGGAAUAACUCAUAUAUCAACUGCCUGUUUACUAUAUUUGUCCUCUAGUUGUUUCUUUUGAGUAACAAAACAGCUCCCCCCUCCAGAAACAGAUCCUUAAAUUUAAUUAUUGAUUAUUUCCCCUUGUUGCUAAAGUCGCCAGUUAAAUUUCCUUGAUUAAAAUUCCAUAUCCCAAAACCACUGUAUCUAUCCCAAAUCUUCAAAAUCAAAGCUAUUUUAAUUAUCAGUCUCCAUCUCCUAGAAACCAUAAUAUGUAUUUCAGUGGUGUCUCAAAAUAAAACUGCUCCAAUUAUCUCCAUUGGGGCUCGUCGUCAUCAAGGACCCACUGAGCUACAAAUUGCAGCUGACAGGCAUUAUCAGCUUUUAUGAU